rnacentral:rRNA from 1 species
UCCGGAAACGGGCGCUAAUACCGCAUACGUCCUGAGGGAGAAAGUGGGGGAUCUUCGGACCUCACGCUAUCAGAUGAGCCUAGGUCGGAUUAGCUAGUUGGUGGGGUAAAGGCCUACCAAGGCGACGAUCCGUAACUGGUCUGAGAGGAUGAUCAGUCACACUGGAACUGAGACACGGUCCAGACUCCUACGGGAGGCAGCAGUGGGGAAUAUUGGACAAUGGGCGAAAGCCUGAUCCAGCCAUGCCGCGUGUGUGAAGAAGGUCUUCGGAUUGUAAAGCACUUUAAGUUGGGAGGAAGGGCAGUAAGUUAAUACCUUGCUGUUUUGACGUUACCAACAGAAUAAGCACCGGCUAACUUCGUGCCAGCAGCCGCGGUAAUACGAAGGGUGCAAGCGUUAAUCGGAAUUACUGGGCGUAAAGCGCGCGUAGGUGGUUCAGCAAGUUGGAUGUGAAAUCCCCGGGCUCAACCUGGGAACUGCAUCCAAAACUACUGAGCUAGAGUACGGUAGAGGGUGGUGGAAUUUCCUGUGUAGCGGUGAAAUGCGUAGAUAUAG